rnacentral:rRNA from 1 species
UACGUAGGUGGCGAGCGUUGUCCGGAUUUAUUGGGUUUAAAGGGUGCGCAGGCGGCCCUGUAAGUCAGUGGUGAAAUACGGCAGCUCAACUGUCGGGGUGCCAAUGAUACUGCGGGGCUUGAGUACGUUCGAGGCAGGCGGAAUUGACGGUGUAGCGGUGAAAUGCAUAGAUAUCGUCAAGAACACCGAUAGCGGAGGCAGCCUGCUAGGCUGUAACUGACGCUGAGGCACGAAAGUGCGGGGAUCAAACAGG